AUACUUACCUGGCAGGGGAGAUACCAUGAUCACGAAGGUGGUUUUCCCAGGGCGAGGCUUAUCCAUUGCACUCUGGAUGUGCUGACCCCUGUGAUUUCCCCACAUGUGGGAAACUCCACUGCAUAAUUUGUGGUAGUGGGUGACUGCGUUUGCGCUCUCCCCUA
rnacentral:snRNA from 1 species